GUACGGCUUGACGAUUGUGUGGCACACCACAAAAGUGUCAAGUGUUGUUACAUGACUACGAGCAUAAGCUAAAAGCGGACGUUCAACUUUUAAAAAUGAAAUAAUCCAAUACUGAAUUUCAUUUUGUUUGCUUUUUCAGUUACUCUUGUGAAGGGAUUUUGAUGAAACAAGUACCUGCACACGUAAAGUUGGAUAACCAGUUUAUGAAGAAAAUGUGCAUGGGCAUGCUCUCGUAUUUCAGUUAAGUGGAAAAAAAGCUGCACAUCAGACGUAACAUGGAUACGUCCUUGAUUAUUCAAUUGCACAUUCACCUCUUGGACUACACUGCUACAGCAGCAUUGCACUACAAUGCACUGCAGCAGCACUAAUAUAGAAACUUCACUUUUUCCUCCUACUUGCUUAGACCAUAAUCCAAUAAAGUCGUCUCAGCAUAAAUAGAAAACCAGACAUAUUAUGGGAAAAGGUUUUCAAUUUCAUUAGGUGUGGAAUAAUACCACGAAUGUAAACGGUUAAUUCCAGGGAAUUACUUUACCUUCCCAGUUUAUCAUAGAAUACAUAAGAAGUGUUGAAGUAAUGACAAUAUUGCAAAAGAAUUGUCAUACGACACGACGAAGCAAAGAAAUUAAAUUGCACGAUGAUGACAUUUAAAACUAUCGGAAAACUUCUUUUUAUUGGGUGAUUAAUAGCUGGGGAUUAGUUCCAACGCUUGUAGACGUGUUUCUUUCGUGGUUAAAAAGUAUUCAGUAGAAUAGCUGGAAUCUAUAAUCUUGUUCGCUUUUUAAUUGUGAAUCGU